UGGGGAGGCAGCGCUGUUGGAAU
rnacentral:miRNA from 1 species